AUCCAGCUGACGAGUCCGAAACAGGAUGAAACACGCAACCUGGAU
rnacentral:hammerhead_ribozyme from 1 species